CGAAGAACCUUACCAAGGCUUGACAUACACCUGCAAAGGCUGGAAACAGUCUCCUCGCAAGACAGGUGUACAGGUGGUGCAUGGUUGUCGUCAGCUCGUGUCGUGAGAUGUUGGGUUAAGUCCCGCAACGAGCGCAACCCUCGUUCUAUGUUGCCAGCGCGUAAUGGCGGGAACUCAUAGGAGACUGCCGGGGUCAACUCGGAGGAAGGUGGGGAUGACGUCAAAUCAUCAUGCCCCUUAUGUCUUGGGCUUCACGCAUGCUACAAUGGCCGGUACAAAGGGCUGCAAUACCGCAAGGUGGAGCGAAUCCCAAAAAGCCGGUCUCAGUUCGGAUUGAGGUCUGCAACUCGACCUCAUGAAGUCGGAGUCGCUAGUAAUCGCAGAUCAGCAACGCUGCGGUGAAUACGUUCCCGGGUCUUGUACACACCGA
rnacentral:rRNA from 1 species